rnacentral:rRNA from 1 species
UACGUAGGGUGCGAGCGUUGUCCGGAAUUACUGGGCGUAAAGAGCUCGUAGGCGGUUUGUCGCGUCUGCUGUGAAAACGCGAGGCUCAACCUCGCGCCUGCAGUGGGUACGGGCAGACUAGAGGUAUGCAGGGGAGAACGGAAUUCCUGGUGUAGCGGUGAAAUGCGCAGAUAUCAGGAGGAACACCGAUGGCGAAGGCAGCUCGCUGGGACGGUACUGACGCUGAUGCACGAAAGCUAGGGGAGCAAACAGG